CCACUCCGACAUCUAUAUACAAUUAUAGACGUCGGCCCCCCUUAUAACCGACGUCUAUGCUUUGACAGGGUAGGUGAAAAGUUGGUUUGGACGUAGGCUCCCCCUAUACCCGACGUCUAUAUACACCGCGAAUAUUAAUUUUUAAUUCGAAUGGACGUUAUAUUAGUGAGGUCGCCGACGUCUAUACACGCCGACGUCUCGGUUCUUGUUAAAUCAGAAACCGUGAACCCGCGGUUACGCGGACUUCAUCGUCUUCCUCCUCGCCUUUUCUCUCUG
rnacentral:lncRNA from 1 species